rnacentral:antisense_RNA from 1 species
CUUAUUCAUCAUUCAUUCAUUUAUUUGAUUAGUUGAAAACACUUCCGACUAAGGAAGUAGAGAGCCCACAAUCCUGUGGGAAAACAGGCCUGGGAACUAAUAUCUCAGGGGUAGUCAGGGUCGGGCCCAGAUCCUCAAAGGGGAGAAUAAAAAAGCGAGGGUGCCGUAUGUCGCAUAAAGAAAGUAGCAGGAAUAAACCUGCCAGAUGUACAGCAGUAGCAUAAGUAGGUGAACAGGCAUAAUUUUCAAGUAUUUUCUUUGAUGGAGAUGAGACCUGAAGUUGUGACCAAAGCACCGCUGCAGCAAGCUCCAACACAUGUAAGCCAUCAAGGGGAUGUUAAAAAACGCCAGCUGGAAAAGAACAGAACCAUAGCUUACUCCCAAGUCCUUGGAAUAGUUUGGUCUUAAUCAUGCAUUAUUAGUGGAUCCUAAGAAUAUGCUGCUAUCUGUCUUGGUGUUAGCUAAUUUACUUCAAGCACAGUUGCUUAUAACACAACAGCUGACUUGUGGCUAGUUGUGUAUUUGCCCAUGU